AAUAAUCUCAAUUUUAUGGAAAGACAUGGAGAUUCUUUCAGAAAAUCCCUGAAAUUCUCAUUGCUGCUAUCAAGUUUACAUUAUUUUAAUAUAAAUUUUAUUUCUCUUCUCAUCGCUACUAUGAUAGGGUAAAAACUAAUGGUAAAGUAUGUCAAAACACCUAGGCUUCAGUAACAACAAAACAAAAUCAACUAAUUCCGUGAGUGGUACAGCAAUUAUUGUUUUCAGAGUAGGUUUCUUAAUUUAUGAAGAAUGUGUAACACAAGUACAUAUAUAGGCUAUCUACAAACAUAAUGCAAAAUAAUGAAUACUCAACAGAUCCCUUCACAAUUGUGUGAACAGUGGACAGAAAACAGUUGGCAAGGAAUGUACAUUGAGAUUGUCGAAUACCAUUUUCCAAGAUUUGAAGAAAAAUACUGACUACAACCAGCAUUUAAGACCCCAGGAAACGUCACUGUUUUUUCUUCAGAGAGCAUAGGAUUUGGAUCUACCAAAGCGCAUGGAUUAAUAUCUUGAUAUAUACAUUUAAUGGAAUAUAUGAAGGAGUUCCCUACUAUGCACUGCAAGAUGGCCCAGGCUCUUCCAGCCAAGGUGUGGAAAUAGGCUCUUCCGCUCUGCUGACGUGCUGGCCUGGACAGACACAUGGGUUUCAGGGCCACCCUGACUGGAGGAGGCUGUGGAGAUGGAGGCUGCUUGGCCUGCUGUGGAGGCUGUGGGGAUGGGGUGGCCCUAUCCCACUGCCUGGUGUCUACAACUUCUUCAAGUCCCGGAAGACCACUGUCCAUCCAAGGCUCCCACCACUCCAGGAGGGAAACCAUCGCUGAUUGCAAUGAACUCUGUCUCCAAUUUUUGUGACAGGCAUCUGAGAAUUAUGGCACAAGCAUUUACCCUCUUGUUCACAUCAAACUGUUCCUUCUGUUCUUGGAAUAAUUCAGAAGAUAUGAUAUUUGAGCAAUGCAUGCUUAAAGGACAAAGGAAAUUUUUAUUGAUGUCAAUGGUAGUGACCUCUUGUUUUUGAAAGAAAGGCCUAACCCUUUAGACCAUCUCUAAAGCCAAUAUGGACACUGCUUUAAAGGCAAACAACAUGACUCACUCAUUGAAUUGAGGAAUUUCAAAACUCACAUGGAUACUGAAAUUUUACCCCAAUUAUUUCAUAUUAUGUCUUAGGAAACUAAGUCUUCAAGAAAUUACAAUUUUCUCAAAGGCACACAGUUUAGUUGCUAGAAAUUUUAUUCUCUACAUGAUAAUAGAUUUAUGAAUACAUCAAUUUUACUGACAUUCCUUUUCUUCAGCACAAAUCAGUUUUGUGUGAAGUUGUUCAGUACAGAAAAUAUUCUAAUUUAGAGGUCGAUUUGGGAAAGGGGUAGAAAUAUAUGUUUUCCAGCCUAUCGCUGCCAACAGCUUAAUGUGUCCAGUGAUGGGUAUGAGGCAGUCUGGUGUUCUUUCUCACAUAUUGACUCCUACUCAACCAUUUUUCUUAGUGUUUUUCAUGGACUUUCCCCAGGGAAAUGGAACAAUAGAUCACAGACCUUGGAAAAUUGUUUCUCACUCUUGUCAAUUUUCCUGCAUGAGUUUUUGAAAGAUAAAACAAAUCCUUGAUAAAACAGUACACAUUUUUUCUUUUGCAACUUCAAGCUUUUCAUUUAGCACCAGUGUCUCUAUUUUCUUUGUAACCCAUGUCUUACAGAUCGUAGGUUCCUAAAUUUUAUGGGAAAAAAAGCCAGUCUUAUAAACUCCUUCACACUGUGAACUAAUAAUUCAUGAUACGAAUGUUAGUGAUGUUUGUAUUUAAAAGACAGACUAGAUGAAGAAACUUUUUGUUUAAAUAGUAAAAUUUCAGAUGUUAGUGUCAGAAGGUGUUGGAUGAUGUAUGGAUAUAAUACAGAGCUAAAUGGGGUAGAGACUUGUAAUUUUUACCUGUCAUCACUACUGAAAAAUCACCAAAGCUGUUCAUUUCAGAGGUGAUCAUUUGAUCAUAGACUUGAAUAAGUUGCUGUGUUUCAGCUUUCUGUUAUAUUAUUUAAAAAGUUAUGAUGGCAAACAUCAUUUGAUAGAUCAGUUGAUAAAAUACCCAUCACUCCUCUUAUCUUUUAAAUUUAGCAGACACUAAUUUAGAAUUGACUAAGUGCCAGGCACUUUUCCAAGUACUUUCCAAAUAUUAACUGUGUAGUUCUUAUUGAAAAUAAAGUUUUUUGAUAUACGUCCUAUUAUUAACUC
rnacentral:lncRNA from 1 species